CAGAUAGCUGAACCACAUUUGUGGUGAUGAAAGGUUUGGUCAGAAAAGGAGGCUGGGGUAAAACAGCAUCUAUUCUGUCAUUUGAAGAAUGGGAAGGAUUUUGCUAGAACAAGAGAGGGUGGGAAAAUAAGAAAGGAAAAUAGAACAUUUUAGGGAAAGGGAAUAGUGUGUGCAAAGAUGAAGAAGUAUAAAAGAAAAUGUAGCUUAUUCCAGAAACUGCUAAAAGGAUCAAUAUGCUGUCGUGUCAUGAGAGAGCCACAAUUCUUCAAACAUAUUUAACUGCUGGAGAGAAUGGCUCAGAAUCCCAGGUAUCAGCUUCAGCACACAUCUCUUCUUGGCCCUUGACAGAAGAAGCAGAGUAACUUUUCUUAGGUGGCAUAAUUCUUCAAAAUGUGUUCAUUUUGAAGAACAGGGGUGAUGGAUGGUAAUACACAGGCAGGGAUCAACAGUCCCAGAACUGAAGGAAGAGUUGACAAAUGUAUCAAAGAUGCCUAAUCAAAAUGUGUCCACAUUCUGCUAA
rnacentral:lncRNA from 1 species